GCCAGCUGCACCAAAUAAAAGCAGACUUGCUGGGCUAGUGGCUGUGUGAAAGGCAGCUAUCAUUUGGAGGGCUGAAUGGGCGGCCAGAGAAGUUACCAGAUGUUUGUUAUUCAUGGUGGGUGCUUGCUUCAUUGAAAAUUAUUGGAAGAAUCCACUGGAUUGACAAAAACAAACUAAGCAGAUUUAUCUUGGCCUGCCAGGAUGAGGAGACUGGGGCGUUGGCUGACAGGCCUGGAGAGAUGGUGGAUCAUUUUCAUACCCUGUUUGGAAUUGCUGGGCUAUUACAGAUGGGAGAGGAACAGAUAAAAGAAGUGAACCCAGUGUUUUGUAUGCCAGAAGAAGUCCUCAAGAGAAUCAAUGUGCAUCAUGAGAUUUUAUGCUAGGACAGUGCUCAGAUUGUUGCUGUUACCUUUCAUAACGAAAAGGAUAUUGUGAAUGAGAAACUCCAGCUACCCAAAUUGUGUCAGUCUGAAAAGUGCAAAACAUAUUUACCAUUGAGUUAUGAAUUGAAUUUUGGACCUUCCAAUAACAAACAACAUUGCACACCUCUAUACAGGGCCACUCAAAACCACAGAUCUGUCAACAUAUCUAAUACACUAUUUAUUAUUCAGUGUAGGAAUCUUAAUUGAUCAUCUUAAGGCCACCUUUCUAUAAAGAUACUUAGUGCUGAAAGAGUUAACGUUUACUGCUGUGAACAAAUCACUUUAUUUGUGGUAUUCUGACACUAUAAAAACUGUAAAAAUAGUAGAUAGCUUUUAAAUGGUUUUGCUGUAUUGAUCAAUGUAUCAAAAUAAAAGGAGCAGAUUUAAGGUCAAGGUUCUGUUUUCAUAGUUCUAAUUAUACACUCUAUGUUUGCAUUCUGAAACUUGAACACACCCUGUGUGCACUGUAUCAUGAGGGCAUGUCUUCACUGUAUGUUAUUGAACUCUAUGGAUGAUAGAAAAACUGGUUCUUUUGUUGUAUGUUUUGAAAACCCCAGUGUGAUUCCUUUGCUCACGAGUCAGGUGUAUGCAAGCAAUGAAAUGAGUACAACCCUUCUGUAUCUUUGAAGAAUUUCAAACUGUAGCAGCCUUCAAAAGAGUGAUAGCCAAACCUUGCAAUCUGUUUUAUAAUCUCUUACAAUAAAAUAGGGAACAAUGUUUGAAUAAAAGUUAAGAAAAUUGAGCCUUGGUUAUCCCACAACUCAUUAGCUUUGAAUCUGACCAUUAUAGGAUCCUAGUGGAAAUGUGUCAUUUUGUUGCAUUUUGUCUUGAUUGUGUCUUUUUUGCUUUUUUGUGUUGUAAAUUGCAACUAUGUGCCCCAGAAACUAUCACUACACCUUGGUUUAAUGUGUGGAGUAAAUGAAUACUAAUAAUCCACCUACACAUUGUUAUUUAGGAAAUGUUUUAAAAGCAAGGCUAUGAGGAAUACAGUGGCACAGGCUAGUUGGCAGACACCACUGAUUGAUUUUGCUACAGUAGCUCAAUAUCAGUUCCAGCACUGCUGUUUGAUUAACUAUAACCACUUAGGAGUCAGAUAGUGUUUUUAUAUAAAGGAAACUUGUGUCUUCCUUUCUUGAUACAGUAUACUGCUUGAAGUAGCUAGAGAUUGUAAAGGGGUUAUAAAGCAUUAUUCUAUACAUAUAAUCAUAAUAAAUGCUUGUUUUUCACCAAUAGAUAAAAAAUAUUUACAGUAAGUCAUUUCACCAGUGCUUUGAAAAUUUGUUGUGGAUUAGCCAGAUUUCAGAUUGUUGGUAACAUGUCUGAUUAAUUAAUAAAUAUAUAUCAUUCCAGU